rnacentral:pre_miRNA from 13 species
GGCCCCUACACCAAUCUGGGCAGCCGUGGCCAUCUUACUGGGCAGCAUUGGAUGGUGUCUGGUCUCUAAUACUGCCUGGUAAUGAUGACGGCGGAGCCCUGCAUGCAGCAACGGGGCCG